AGAGCGAACGCUGGCGGCAGGCCUAAUACAUGCAAGUCGAACGGACCCUUCGGGGUUAGUGGCGGACGGGUGAGUAACACGUGGGAACGUGCCCUUUGGUUCGGAACAACUCAGGGAAACUUGAGCUAAUACCGAAUGUGCCCUUCGGGGGAAAGAUUUAUCGCCAUUGGAGCGGCCCGCGUCUGAUUAGCUAGUUGGUGAGGUAAAGGCUCACCAAGGCUACGAUCAGUAGCUGGUCUGAGAGGAUGAUCAGCCACACUGGGACUGAGACACGGCCCAGACUCCUACGGGAGGCAGCAGUAGGGAAUCUUGCGCAAUGGGCGAAAGCCUGACGCAGCCAUGCCGCGUGAAUGAUGAAGGUCUUAGGAUUGUAAAAUUCUUUCAGCGGGGACGAUAAUGACGGUACCGCAGAAGAAGCCCCGGCUAACUUCGUGCCAGCAGCCGC
rnacentral:rRNA from 1 species